UGGGGAAUUUUGGACAAUGGGGGAAACCCUGAUCCAGCCAUCCCGCGUGUGCGAUGAAGGCCUUCGGGUUGUAAAGCACUUUUGGCAGGAAAGAAACGUCAUGGGUUAAUACCCCGUGAAACUGACGGUACCUGCAGAAUAAGCACCGGCUAACUACGUGCCAGCAGCCGCGGUAAUACGUAGGGUGCAAGCGUUAAUCGGAAUUACUGGGCGUAAAGCGUGCGCAGGCGGUUCGGAAAGAAAGAUGUGAAAUUCCAGAGCUCAACUUUGGAACUGCAUUUUUAACUACCGGGCUAGAGUGUGUCAGAGGGAGGUGGAAUUCCGCGUGUGCAGUGAAAUGCGUAGAUAUGCGGAGGAACACCGAUGGCGAAGGCAGCCUCCUGGGAUAACACUGACGCUCAUGCACGAAAGCGUGGGGAGCAAACAGG
rnacentral:rRNA from 1 species